rnacentral:lncRNA from 1 species
GGACUGAGUGGGAGGUCAGUUGAGAACAGCUCAGAAAUUACUUCCCUGCUUGCAGGAGAGGCCAGCUGUUCCCUGCAUGAUGCCGUAGUACCUCAGUACUUGGAGCCUCCUUUAACUCAGACUGAAAGUCACAGUCACAGACUCACUAUCCCAGCCAGCGGCUGGUAGCUACGACUGAGGCUUAGUCAUUUUAUUGUUGAGUGUCCUGAUUUGUCAUGUACAGAGUAGGCAUUUAAUAGUUGCUGAUUUAUACUUGACCAGGAAGACAUUUUGGAAAACAGCACCAAACAGGGAAAUAUCCUUAUCUGAAAGCCAGAAAUGUUCCCAGGUCAGGAGUGAAUAUUGACAUGGUAGCAGAAGAGAAAAUUCCACACUUAAAAUGCUGCUGCACUAAAAAAUACUGUAUAAAAUUUCAUGCAGGUCAUGGAGAUGGGGUAUGUAUAUCAUAAUGAAUUUCCUGUUUAGGCUUAGGUCCCAUUCACAAGUUAUUUCUGGGUAUAUAUGCAAAUAGUCUGAAAUCUGAAAAAAAUUGCAAAGUCUGAGUAAUGUUGAAUGUCAAGCCUUUGGUGUAAGGGUUCCCUCUGGUGGGUAGAGGAGACUGGAGGGCAGCCCUUUCUCAGGACUGAAGAGUGCAGCUGUGUUUCUUGGUGAGGUCUUCAUGGGAGCCUGUGGGGUGGUUCCUUCUGUAACCUGGGAGGAGGUGCUUCCUCAUCAUUUAGGGAGAAGGGUAGCUUUCUCCUGAAGCAUGCAAGAGUGCAGGGUUCUGCUUCCUCCUCUGAGUGAAAAAGUCUGUUAUUAUGAGGUGACACAGACAGGAAGCCUGAGGUCCAGGCAGAAACUGUGAGCUCGCUCUCAGUGUCUGAUGGAGACAAUCAGGACAUACCAGCUUUUUAAUGCAUCUGCUUUUCUUGUGGUGGUUUUUGAAGCUGGAUUUUAUGUAACCCAGGCUGACCUCUAACUUGCUCUGUAGCUAAGGAUGUCCUCCCUCCUCUGGGGUGUUGGGAUUACAGGCAUGUCCCACUGCUCCUGGUGUCAUAUAUUACACUAGCAGAUGCGUGUUGCUUUAAUUCAUGGGAUCAAUGUUGUAUACAAUUUCGCUCUUAUUUUUUUUCCCUAGGACCUAAAGAAGUACCACUUCUACUACUGGUUUUGCUGCCCCGCCCUCUGUCUUCCUGAGAGCAUCCCUCUAAUCCGGGGACCUGUGAGCUUGGAUCAAAGGCUUUCACCAAAACAGGUAUGGCAAGUCAAACAAAUGCAGAUAGAGGGGUCUGGCUGUGAGAGCAGGUGGAAGAUGAGCCAGGGCAGUGAGAAAAGACAGCUGGGGAGCGAGCAAGCAGCAGUCCAGAUGGCUCUGGAACAGUGUUUACCAAGUGCUGAUAAGGUCAUUGUGUAGAGGAGGAGCCACUAUCCUCCAGGUGUCCCAUGGAAUUUGGGGAAAUGCUAAGCCCACAGGGGGGGAUUACAAGAGCAUUUGAAAGACUGAAAAUUUACCAAAGUGUGUUUUUCAUUUUCAGUCUGGGGAAGACAAAGCCACAGCCUGUGCAGAGAGCCUGUGGAACCAUCACAGGCCCUCCCCUGCCCUCAGACCAAAUGGCAGGACCUCUUCUCUGGAACAGACGUGCAGGUCUAGUCCUUCCUUCAAGGAGGCCGUCAGAGAUUAGUCCCAUGAAAAAUUAGCAUCAGGCUGGCAGAAGGCAGACCUAGCUGGAGAAUUCUGAUCAUUUUUUUAAAACCUUGACUGAGGGUCAAGCUGAUGAGUUCCAGAGGUCUGUCAGUCAAUAAGAUGCAGAACUGAUGCCUGCAGAGAUUUAAAGACAGAUGGGGAUGGGGAAAGGACUCAGCAGUUAAGAGUGCUUACUGCUCUGGCCAUGGCCCCAGGUUCCUAUCCCAGCAGCCACACCUUUGGCAACUAACCAUAUGUAAUUCUAGCUCCAGGAGGUCCAGUGCCCGCUUCUGGCCAGUUGGUACACUCUAUACAUAAAAUACACAGACAUACAUGUACAAACAUACUCAUAUACAUACAAGAAGAAUAAAUAAACCUUCAUUUUAAACAAAAGAUUUAAUUUUUUUUUUUUUUGCAAAGGAUUUUUCUAAGAUGAAACCUAACAUGAGGUAAUACAUUCUAUCAGGAGAUUGAACGUUCAUGUUUAAGGAGGAUUAAAGUUCUCAAGUCAUCUCAGGACUACACAACCUUGUAAACAUACUA